rnacentral:lncRNA from 1 species
UGCCUAACGAAACAUUUAUAAAAUUUCCCCUGUGUUUUCUCAAAAGCUUCAUGGUUUUACAUUUGGGUCUGUUAUCUCCUUUGAGCUAAUUCUGGUAUGUUGAGAGAGGUGUGGAUCAAAAUACAGUUUUAGUCCAGUAGUCAAAUAGGAAUUUGGAAGAAGAAAAUAGAGAGACUGAUAGAAAGGCAAUAUUAGAAAUUGCUGUCUAAGAAUUUCCAGACUUAGGAAAUAUGUUCAUACACCAGUUCACAAAAUAGGUUCUGAGCAGGAUAAACUUAAAAGUUCCCACUUUCCCAUUAAGUUGCUAUCUUUUUUUUUUUUUUUUUGUAGGAGUUCAUCAAGUAUUUUAGAUGAUAGUCCCUCGUCAAUUUUAGACAUUUCAAAUAUUUCCCUCCUCUGAUAGCUAUUUAUUUAUCUCUGGAGCCCUGCAUAGUGCAAAAUUUAUAAAUUUUGAAGUGAUCAGAUUCAUCAAUUAUUUGCCUCAUGGCUAUGAUAUUGGAGCUUUGUUGAGUCCUUUCCUACCCUGAGGUCCCAAAGAUUUCACCUAAAUUUCCUUCUGCUAAUAUUGUGGUUUUACCUUUGUCUUUAGGUCUUCAAUGCAUCAGGUAUCCACCUCUUUAUCUGAUGUGAUCCACUAUUAUCCAGUAUUAUCACCCAGCUUCUCUAACCUCAUCUACCAAACAAUUUGUGCUUUCUUGUCAUUGGUAGGGCACUGUGCUAGUCAGAGGAAGAGAACAAAAUAAGCUGUCCCCACCUUGUUGGAUGGUAGUGGCCCACGGAGGAGACCGUCAUUAAACCAGGAACACAAGUAAUCCUGUAAUUUGUGCCAAGAACCUUGAAAGUGAGAAUUUAAGAGGGUGGAACAGGGAAAUCUACAUUCGGUAAGGGGAGCAGAAGACCUGUCUGACAAGCAGAUGGUUAUGCUGGAGCUUUGCCAUUUUAGGACUCUUUCCGGUACAAGUGCAGAAAUCCAAUCCAAGAGAGCUUAAGCCAAAAACGGAAAACUGCUGUGUAUAAGUAACUCAAGAGCCUUGGAUGGGGCUCAGGGGAGGGAGCAUCAGGAGUGACUGUUUGUGGGGACACAAAAAUGUUUGGGAACUAGACAGAGGUGCUGGUUGUACAACACUGGAAAUGUACUAAGUGCCACUGAUCUGUACGCUUCAAAAUGGUUACUUUUAUGUGACAUACAUUUCACCUCAAUUUAAAAAAAAAAAAAAGUGCCUGUGAUUCUACGGCGAGGAUCCCAGAUCAUUAGGAACGGCCUCUGUGGGUGAAGUAGUUAGUAAC